rnacentral:rRNA from 1 species
UACGUAGAAGGCAAACGUUGUUCGGAUUUACUGGGCGUAAAGCGGGUGCAGACGGCGCCUUAAGUCGGAUGUGAAAUCUCCCGACUCAAUCGGGAGAGGUCGUUCGAUACUGGGGAGCUUGAGGGCAGCAGGGGAAGGCGGAAUUCCCGGUGUAGCGGUGAUAUGCGUAGAUAUCGGGAGGAACACUAGUGGCGAAGGCGGCCUUCUGGGCUGAUCCUGACGUUCAAACCCGAAAGCGUGGGGAG